UACCAGCACCCCGAGUGGUCGGGACGUUUAUUGGGCCUAAAGCAUCCGUAGCCGGUUCUACAAGUCUUCCGUUAAAUCCAGCUGCUUAACAGAUGGGCUGCGGAAGAUACUAUGGAGCUAGGAGGCGGGAGAGGCAAGCGGUACUCGAUGGGUAGGGGUAAAAUCCGUUGAUCCAUUGAAGACCACCAGUGGCGAAGGCGGCUUGCCAGAACGCGCUCGACGGUGAGGGAUGAAAGCUGGGGAGCAAACCGGAUUAGAA
rnacentral:rRNA from 1 species